GACAGUGAAAUCCAUCACAGAUGCCUAAGAUAGAGCACUGCAAGAUAAAAAGGGACCACCUGGCUUCAUAGUCUCAUCUCCUGGGCAACCCAGUUUACUAUGUUUCACUCCACUGAACAGAAGUACCAGCAGCAAUCCAAGAAGGAUCCGCAAAAAUUCCUGGGAGGUUUCCAGUUCAGGGAUGGAUCCAGCCCAAAACCUGAUAGCAUCUAAUAAGGCUCUAUAUUGAAUGAGGAAAAUCUUCUGCUUUUUCUACUGUCACAACUCUUUGUCUUUCAAUGUGCUGCUCAUGAACUGCUGAAGCUUAUUAUGUUUAAAUAAUAAAAGAAUGGAAACCAAGAGAAUGA